ACAGUGUAAAUGACAUGGUCAUAGUAAUAUGACAUUGUCUUUUAACAUGAAAGACUAUUUACUUUACUAUUGUGACUGUGUUAUCCUGAUUGAAAUCUAAAUUGAUUUAGGAAAGUGCUUUGUAACCGCUGAGGAGACGUUAGGAUGAAAAUAUUUAGAUUUCUACUUGGACAAUGACUUUUAAACUUUCAGACAGGUCUGCAUAUCAGUAUAGUCCAAGUGAAUUAGUAAUAGUUCUGAGUUGUGUGGGUUUUUUUUUAUAUAGAAUUAGAAGGUUAUAUAUAUCAUGGCAGGAAUAGGAUACAGACCAAACUUUUUUGAAAAAUACUUCCGCAUUGUUGAAAAGGUUGCAUUGCAUGGAAAUCCGAUCAUCGACUCGUUCCCUACAGAUCACAAAGACAUAAAAAUCACUUUACCUGCACAUGUGGAAGCAAUGAAGGUAAAUGGGUUAGUUUCCGAAAACGCGUCCGAUGGUGAGGUUUUUGCAAGUAUUGCGACUUUAAAAUUAGCAUCAAUGUAUCUGAGGCGGGGAGUUCAGGAAUCAGCUGUAAAAAGAACAAGAAAGCCAAAAAAAUAUAGUCAGCGAAUUGCCUAUGACUUCUGAAGUUGGUGAUGGAUGCAAAGAUUUGGAAAUAUUGUUAGUCGCAAGAAAGGGUUUUAUAGGGAAAUGCAAUAAAAGUAAAUAAAUCUAAAUUUAUUUCAGUGGAGACAUUUGUAUGAAAAACGUUUUUUGUCUGACUAGUUUAUUUAGUGAUUCAUAGACAUGUGAUGGUAUGUCAAUGUAUUUAG